rnacentral:rRNA from 1 species
GACGAACGCUGGCGGCGUGCUUAACACAUGCAAGUCGAACGGAAAGGCCCUGCUUUUGUGGGGUGCUCGAGUGGCGAACGGGUGAGUAACACGUGAGUAACCUGCCCUUGACUUUGGGAUAACUUCAGGAAACUGGGGCUAAUACCGGAUAGGAGCUCCUGCUGCAUGGUGGGGGUUGGAAAGUUUCGGCGGUUGGGGAUGGACUCGCGGCUUAUCAGCUUGUUGGUGGGGUAGUGGCUUACCAAGGCUUUGACGGGUAGCCGGCCUGAGAGGGGGACCGGCCACAUUGGGACUGAGAUACGGCGCAGACUCCUACGGGAGGCAGCAGUGGAGAAUAUUGCACAAUGGGCGGAAGCCUGAUGCAGCAACGCCGCGUGCGGAAUGACGUCCUUCGGGUUGUAAACCGCUUUCGCCUGUGACGAAGCGUGAGUGACGGUAAUGGGUAAAGAAGCACCGGCUAACUACGUG